rnacentral:rRNA from 1 species
GUAACGCGUGGGAACGUGCCCCAAGGUACGGAAUAGCCCCGGGAAACUGGGAGUAAUACCGUAUGUGCCCUACGGGGGAAAGAUUUAUCGCCUUGGGAUCGGCCCGCGUUGGAUUAGGUAGUUGGUGGGGUAAUGGCCUACCAAGCCGACGAUCCAUAGCUGGUUUGAGAGGAUGAUCAGCCACACUGGGACUGAGACACGGCCCAGACUCCUACGGGAGGCAGCAGUGGGGAAUCUUAGACAAUGGGCGCAAGCCUGAUCUAGCCAUGCCGCGUGAGCGAUGAAGGCCUUAGGGUUGUAAAGCUCUUUCAGGGGGGAAGAUAAUGACUGUACCCCCAGAAGAAGCCCCGGCUAACUCCGUGCCAGCAGCCGCGGUAAUACGGAGGGGGCUAGCGUUGUUCGGAAUUACUGGGCGUAAAGCGCACGUAGGCGGACUGGAAAGUCAGAGGUGAAAUCCCAGGGCUCAACCUUGGAACUGCCUUUGAAACUCCCGGUCUUGAGGUCGAGAGAGGUGAGUGGAAUUCCGAGUGUAGAGGUGAAA